rnacentral:rRNA from 1 species
GUUGUAUGGUUAAGUGACUAAGCGUACACGGUGGAUGCCUUGGCAGUCAGAGGCGAUGAAGGACGUAUUAACUUGCGAUAAGCCCAGAUUAGGCAGUAAAAGCCACUUGAGUCUGGGAUUUCCGAAUGGGGAAACCCAACUGCAUAAGCAGUUACUGUUAACUGAAUACAUAGGUUAACAGGGCGAACCGGGGGAACUGAAACAUCUAAGUACCCCGAGGAAAAGAAAUCAACCGAGAUUCCGAAAGUAGCGGCGAGCGAAAUUGGACUAGCCCUUAAGCUUUACACGCGUUAGACGAACGGUCUGGAAAGUCCGACGAUACAGGGUGAUAGUCCCGUAGUUGACGACGUGUGUUCAGUGAAAUCGAGUAGGGCGGGACACGUGAU